rnacentral:rRNA from 1 species
GCAACUCGCCUACAUGAAGUCGGAAUCGCNGUAAUCGCGGAUCAGCAUGCCGCGGUGAAUGCGUUCCCGGGUCUUGUACACACCGCCCGUCACACCACGGAAGUUGGGGGCGCCCGAAGCCACUUAGCUAACCCUUUUGGGAAGCGAGUGUCGAAGGUGAAAUCAAUAACUGGGGUGAAGUCGUAACAAGGUAUC